rnacentral:tRNA from 1 species
GGCUGGAUCACCUCCUAACAGGGAGACAAACUGAUGGUGAUGUCUGAGUAAUUAUAAUCUCAGGCCGCUAUCCUGUCAUCUUUAGGUCGAUCGGUACCUCAGGGAGUUUGCUGUGGAAAAGGGUGGCAACACCAAGGUGGUAACACCGAGGUGAAGAUAUUCGAUUCAGCGGCAACACUUUUUCAGUUCCUAAACUUUGUCUAGGUCACCCCACAGCGGGAAAGUUCCUGGGCCAUUAGCUCAGGCGGUUAGAGCGCACCCCUGAUAAGGGUGAGGUCCCUGGUUCAAGUCCAGGAUGGCCCAUUCAUGUUUGGGGGUUUAGCUCAGUUGGUAGAGCGCCUGCUUUGCAAGCAGGAUGUCAGCGGUUCGAGUCCGCUAACCUCCAUCCAAGCGAGAAGCUUAACUCCUGAAUGAAAUACUGGGAAGCCGUUGUGUGGAGGAUCGAGACGUGUUCAGCUUGAGAAGCCUGAUUGACUUCAGCCUUCUCCAUCGUUCUGUCUGAAUUUGAUAGCGAGUGAUGUUGUCGAAAGACAAUGUUUCGGGAGCUAGUCAGAAAGGAUAGUAAAAGAUGGAGAAUGCUGAACUCUGAGAAGGGUUUAGCAACGAACCUUGACAACUGCAUAGGUGAGUCUGGAUAAAUAAGCAUCUCAUAGAUGCCUCAUCCAGGGUCGAGACGACUGAUGCUUUCGAGAGAAAGUUUUGGUUUGUUUGACCUGAAUGAGGAAAAAUUCUUGAGAAUAAAGCCGAGAUCUUCCAGUAAGUUUUUAUCAUUCCGAUAAAAAGCAGGAAACAAUGUUUCU